rnacentral:lncRNA from 1 species
GUGUCCCCCCCCGGACCCCACGCCGCGGGAGCUUGGGGGUUGCGGUCUUCUCUUCCUCCGACCUCACCUUCGAUGCGGAAGCGCAGGGGCAGACCACUGGAUGGUGAAGAAUUCCCAUGAACCCCUGGUUCACACUGUAAGGACACACUACUCAGCAUGGGCAACAUUUACAGACUACUGGAUGGUGAAGAAUUCCCAUGAACCCCUGGUUCACACUGUAAGGACAGACUACUCAGCAUGGGCAACAUUUACAGACCACUGGAUGAUGAAGAAUUCCCAUGAACUCCUGGUUCCAACUGUAAGGACACACUACUCAGCUGUAGCCUGAAGCCGCCUCCUUACAUACUGUAAGUUUAGCCUAUAGGUUUCUCCAUACGUAGUGAACAGUCAUCUAAUUGGAUGUGUGGACACUGUAACCUACUCUUGAAUCAGUCACAGGCAGCAGCACUUCAAACUCUGUUUCAAUAAGCCAGACACGAGCUGUAGCCACCCUGCUGUUUGCAGGCCUCACCUCUGCCUUCUGUGCCUCACUCCCUUUUCUGUCCGUAAGUCUUUGGCCACACAGUGGCACUGGAGUCUCUCUGAGCCUAUUCUGGUUUGAGGGGUUCCCUGAUUCCUGAAUCAUUCUUUGCUCAAUUAAACUCUGU